rnacentral:rRNA from 1 species
CAGUCGCCGCGGUAAUACGUAGGUGGCAAGCGUUGUCCGGAAUUAUUGGGCGUAAAGGGCUCGCAGGCGGUUUCUUAAGUCUGAUGUGAAAGCCCCCGGCUCAACCGGGGAGGGUCAUUGGAAACUGGGAAACUUGAGUGCAGAAGAGGAGAGUGGAAUUCCACGUGUAGCGGUGAAAUGCGUAGAGAUGUGGAGGAACACCAGUGGCGAAGGCGACUCUCUGGUCUGUAACUGACGCUGAGGAGCGGAAGCGUGGGGAGCGAACAGGAUUAGAUACCCCUGUAGUCCCUGUCUCUUAUAC